GCAUGUCUAAGUACAAGCCUCACUAAGGUGAAACCGCGAAUGGCUCAUUAAAUCACACCUAAUCUACUGGAUAGUCAACAGUUACUUGGGUAACUGCGGUAAUUCUGGAGCUAAUACAUGCACACAGCCCCGAACUUACGUGAGGGGCGCUUUUAUUAGAUCAAAACCAAACGGCUUCGGCUGUUCUCUUGGUGACUCUGAAUAACUUUGGGCUGAUCGCAUAGCCUAGAGCUGGCGACAUAUCCUUCGAAGGUGUGCCCUAUCAACUGUCGACUGUGGCAUAGACGCCCACAGUGGUCUUGACGGGUAACGGGGAAUCAGGGUUCGAUUCCGGAGAGGGAGCCUUAAAAACGGCUACCACAUCUAAGGAAGGCAGCAGGCACGCAAAUUACCCAAUGACCGAAGGUCGAGGUAGUGACGAAAAAUAACGAUACAGGACUCAUCCGAGGCCCUGUAAUCGGAAUGAGUACACUUUAAAACCGUCCCCGAGGACCCAUUGGAGGGCAAGUCUGGUGCCAGCAGCCGCGGUAAUUCCAGCUCCAAUAGCGUAUAUUAAAGUUGUUGUGGUUAAAAAGCUCGUAGUUGGAUCUCGGCAGUCCGAGGGCGGUUCGCUUGCUAGUGUUACUGCCUUAUGGACUGUAGUUUUGCCAGAGGUCGCGGGGUGCUCUUAACCGAGUGUCUCGUGAUGCUGGCAGGUUUACUUUGAAAAAAUUAGAGUGCUCAAAGCAGGCUUUUACGCCUGAAUAUUCGUGCAUGGAAUAAUAGAAUAGGAGGUCGUUUCUAUUUUGUUGGUUUUCGGAAAUCGACUUAAUGAUUAAUAGGGACAGUCGGGGACAUUUGUAUUCAAACGACAGAGGUGAAAUUCUUGGACCGUUUGAAGACAAACUACUGCGAAAGCAUUUGUCAAGAAUGUUUUCAUUAAUCAAGAACGAAAGUUAGAGGUUCGAAGGCGAUUAGAUACCGCCCUAGUUCUAACCAUAAACGAUGCCAGCUAGCGAUCUGCCGACGUUUUU
rnacentral:rRNA from 1 species